rnacentral:rRNA from 1 species
GAUGAACGCUAGCUACAGGCUUAACACAUGCAAGUCGAGCGGAAACGACAUCGACAUCUUGCUUUUGAUGGGCGUCUACCGGCGCACGGGGUAGUAACGCGUAUCCCACCUGCCCAUCACUUGGGGAUAACCUUGCGAAAGUAAUACUAAUACCCAAUGAUAUCCCUAGAAGACAUCUGAAAGAGAUUAAAGAUUUAUCGGUGAUGGAUGGGGAUGCGUCUGAUUAGCUUGUUGGCGGGGUAACGGCCCACCAAGGCAACGAUCAGUAGGGGUUCUGAGAGUAAGGUCCCCCACAUUGGAACUGAGACACGGUCCAAACUCCUACGGGAGGCAGCAGUGAGGAAUAGUGGUCAAGGGGCGAGAGCCUGAAACAGCCAAGUAGUGUGCAGUAAGACGGUCCUAGGUGUUGUAAUCUGCUUUUAUAAGGGAAUAAAGUGAUAGUCGUGACUCUUGUUGUCUGUACCUGAUGAAUAAGGACCGGCUAACUCCGUG